UAUAAAGUAAGCUAAAUUAAGCUAGUGGGCUCAUACCCCAAAUAUGAACAAGUUUCCUUUAUUA
rnacentral:tRNA from 1 species